rnacentral:misc_RNA from 1 species
GGAAGUAAGAGUCGUAACAAGGUCUCCGUAGGUGAACCUGCGGAGGGAUCAUUACAGAGUUCAGGCCCUCACGGGCAGAUCUCCCACCCCUGUGUAUUCAUACCUCUGUUGCUUUGGCGGGCCGCCAGGCUUCGACCUGGCCACCGGCCCUGGAGCUGGUGCGCGCCCGCCAGAGGACCCCCAAACUCUGGUCAUCUGUGUCGUCCGAGUAUUAUACGAUCGUUAAAACUUUCAACAACGGAUCUCUUGGUUCUG